rnacentral:rRNA from 2 species
UACGUAGGGGGCGAGCGUUGUCCGGAAUUACUGGGCGUAAAGGGCGUGUAGGCGGUUAGUUAAGUCAGGUGUGAAAACUGUGGGCUCAACCCAGAGGCUGCAUCUGAAACUGGCUAACUUGAGGGUAGGAGAGGGAAGUGGAAUUCCUAGUGUAGCGGUGAAAUGCGUAGAUAUUAGGAGGAACACCAGUGGCGAAGGCGACUUUCUGGCCUAACCCUGACGCUGAGGCGCGAAAGCGUGGGGAGCAAAC